CCUACGGGGCGCAGCAGUAGGGAAUAUUGCUCAAUGGGGGAAACCCUGAAGCAGCAACGCCGCGUGGAGGAUGAAGGUUUUCGGAUUGUAAACUCCUUUUGUUAGAGAAGAUAAUGACGGUAUCUAACGAAUAAGCACCGGCUAACUCCGUGCCAGCAGCCGCGGUAAUACGGAGGGUGCAAGCGUUACUCGGAAUCACUGGGCGUAAAGCGCGCGUAUGCGGGAUAGCAAGUCAGAUGUGAAAUCCUAUGGCUUAACCAUAGAACUGCAUUUGAAACUGUUAUUCUAGAGUAUGGGAGAGGUAGGUGGAAUUCUUGGUGUAGGGGUAAAAUCCGUAGAGAUCAAGAGGAAUACUCAUUGCGAAGGCGACCUGCUAGAACAUAACUGACGCUGAUGCGCGAAAGCGUGGGGAGCAAACAGGAUUAGAUACCCCUGUAGUC
rnacentral:rRNA from 1 species